UACGAAGGGGGCUAGCGUUGCUCGGAAUCACUGGGCGUAAAGCGCACGUAGGCGGCUUUUUAAGUCAGGGGUGAAAUCCUGGAGCUCAACUCCAGAACUGCCUUUGAUACUGAAGAUCUUGAGUUCGGGAGAGGUGAGUGGAACUGCGAGUGUAGAGGUGAAAUUCGUAGAUAUUAGGAAGAACACCAGUGGCGAAGGCGGCUCACUGGUCCGGUACUGACGCUGAGGUGCGAAAGCGUGGGGAGCAAACAGG
rnacentral:rRNA from 1 species